CACGGUGUCAGAGGCGGGCUGGCCAGCGGGGUGAGGGGGCUGCCAGCCGGCUCUCCGCACCGAGUAAGACCGCAGAUGAAACCCGCAGAUGGAUCAUGAACGAGCAGGUCCACGGAGCUGCGGCAGCCGCUUCUCCAACAGGACUGUUUGGCGCUCAGAAGAGACUGAGGUCCCACAUGUGACGUCAUCAAUGACCGGCUUCGAUGGAACUUCAGGAAGUAAUCAAAGCAAAGUCUGGAAGACACUCACAGUUCCGCUGGGCCGAGUCGAGACCUAGAUCAACAUGGAGAGUACGCUGGGUGCUGAGGGAAGCUUGUUAUAAAGAUGUCCCCUUUUAAUUCAUGUGUU